rnacentral:rRNA from 1 species
AUACGAAGGUGGCAAGCGUUGUUCAGAAUCACUGGGCUUAAAGCGUGCGUAGGCUGACAUUCAGGUGUCCUUUGAAAUCCCCCUGCUCAACAGGGGAAUUGGGGGGCAAACCGGAUGUCUUGAGGCCGGUAGGGGUGCCUGGAACUCUUGGUGGAGCGGUGGAAUGCGUAGAUAUCAAGAGGAACGCCAGAGGAGAAAUCGGGGCACUGGGCCGGACCUGACGCUGAGGUACGAAAGCAUGGGUAGCGAACGGGAUUAGAUACCCCGGUAGUCCAUGCCGUAAACGAUGUGUACUAGACUGUUGUCAAUCUGACUUGAUGGCAGUCGCAGCAAAAGUGUUAAGUACACCGCCUGGGGAGUACGGUCGCAAGGCUAAA